UACGUAGGAGGCAAGCGUUGUCCGGAAUUACUGGGCGUAAAGCGCGUGUAGGUGGUGGGACAAGUCUGCUGUGAAAGCGCCUGGCUUAACCGGGCGAGGUCGGCGGAAACUGUCCGACUCGAGGACGGUAGAGGGGGGUGGAAUUCCCGGUGUAGUGGUGAAAUGCGUAGAUAUCUGGAAGAACACCAAUGGCGAAGGCAAUGUUCUGGCUCGUUUCUGACGCUCAGGUGCGAAAGCCAGGGGAGCGAACGGG
rnacentral:rRNA from 1 species